CGGCGUGCUUAACACAUGCAAGUCGAGCGGCAAAGGCCCUUCGGGGUACUCGAGCGGCGAACGGGUGAGUAACACGUGAGCAACCUGCCCUUAGCUUUGGGAUAACCCUCGGAAACGGGGGCUAAUACCGAAUGUUCACUUCCUGUCGCAUGGUGGGGGGUGGAAAGUUUUUCGGCUAGGGAUGGGCUCGCGGCCUAUCAGCUUGUUGGUGGGGUGAUGGCCUACCAAGGCGACGACGGGUAGCCGGCCUGAGAGGGCGACCGGCCACACUGGGACUGAGACACGGCCCAGACUCCUACGGGAGGCAGCAGUGGGGAAUAUUGCACAAUGGGCGCAAGCCUGAUGCAGCGACGCCGCGUGAGGGAUGACGGCCUUCGGGUUGUAAACCUCUUUCAGCAGGGACGAAGGGUGACUGACGGUACCUGCAGAAGAAGCGCCGGCCAACUACGUGCCAGCAGCCGCGGUAAGACGUAGGGCGCGAGCGUUGUCCGGAUUUAUUGGGCGUAAAGAGCUCGUAGGCGGCUUGUCGCGUCGACUGUGAAAACCCGUGGCUCAACCAUGUGGUCUGCAGUCGAUACGGGCAGGCUAGAAUUCGGUAGGGGAGACUGGAAUUCCUGGUGUAGCGGUGAAAUGCGCAGAUAUCAGGAGGAACACCGGUGGCGAAGGCGGGUCUCUGGGCCGAUAUUGACGCUGAGGAGCGAAAGCGUGGGGGAGCGAACAGGGAUUA
rnacentral:rRNA from 1 species